AUUGAACGCUGGCGGCAUGCCUAACACAUGCAAGUCGAACGGGGCAGCAAUGCCUAGUGGCGGACGGGUGAGGAAUACGUAGGAAUCUGCCCUUAAGUGGGGGAUAACCAGGGGAAACCCUGACUAAUACCGCAUGAUCUCUUCGGAGCAAAGAGGGGGACCGCAAGGCCUCUCGCUUCUGGAUGAGCCUACGUCUGAUUAGCUAGUUGGUAGGGUAAAGGCCUACCAAGGCGACGAUCAGUAACUGGUCUGAGAGGAUGAUCAGUCACACCGGAACUGAGACACGGGCCGGACUCCUACGGGAUGCAGCAGUGGGGAAUAUUGGACAAUGGGCGCAAGCCUGAUCCAGCAACGCCGCGUGUGUGAAGAAGGCCUUCGGGUUGUAAAGCACUUUAGCCUGGAAAGAAAAAACUUUGGUUAACACCCAAAGUCUUGACGGUACCGGGAGAAUAAGCACCGGCUAACUCUGUGCCAGCAGCCGCAGUAACAC
rnacentral:rRNA from 1 species